UUUCCAAUAAAAGAUGGUUUCGGCUAUCACUUUGGGAUGGGCCCGCGGUGCAUUAGCUAGUUGGUAAGGUAACGGCUUACCAAGGCGAUGAUGCAUAGCCGAGUUGAGAGACUGAUCGGCCACAAUGGAACUGAGACACGGUCCAUACUCCUACGGGAGGCAGCAGUAGGGAAUCUUCCACAAUGGGCGCAAGCCUGAUGGAGCAACACCGCGUGAGUGAAGAAGGGUUUCGGCUCGUAAAACUCUGUUGUUGGAGAAGAACGUGCGUAAGAGUAACUGUUUACGCAGUGACGGUAUCCAACCAGAAAGUCACGGCUAACUACGUGCCAGCAGCCGCGGUAAUACGUAGGUGGCAAGCGUUAUCCGGAUUUAUUGGGCGUAAAGCGAGCG
rnacentral:rRNA from 1 species